rnacentral:lncRNA from 10 species
GAGGUGGAGGUUGCAGUGAGCCGAGAUCAUGCCACUGCGCUCCAGCCUGGGUGAGAGAGAGACUCUGCCUCAAAAAAAAAAAAAAAAAAAAAAAAAAGAAAAGAAAGAAAUCUUUCAGUCAGAAGAUCGUGAUUUCUACAGCAGGGGGCUCAUUUGAUGUGAGCUCUGUUUUUAGGAAUCACUGGGUUAUUGUAUCUCUGAAUGAUUAAACUUAACUCUCACCAUGACAUGAGGGUAUCUCUCCUUCCAGAUCCGCAAAUAAUGUUUUGUAUACCCAAACAUGAGGGUGAGUAAAAUCUGGGCACUCAGGCAACAAUGCCACAUCAUUACUCAGCUUUUGAAAGUCUGCCCAGCCUGGUGAGGGUGUAUUUGGUACUUUGCCCUCCUCUCUGCCCAGUUUUCCCCUGACUGGCGAUUUCCUGCUGUCUCUUGAAUUCCUGUAGCUCCUACUGCAGCUUGCGCCACAAGGGGAGUCCCCAAAUACUGUGAAGCACCCAGAACUCAAAGGGUUUCAUUUCACUAAAGAAUGUUCCUUUUCUAUUUCUUCCAGUGUCUGUGGAUGAACACUACACCAUUUGCUCCAUUUUCUGAGAAUUUCUCAGUGGAUGCUUUAAAAACCAAGGAUGAAUUCAGCAUCUCUAUUUUAUGUGGAAGCUGUUCUCAGCAUCAUUUGUUUUCUUACUUGGGUGGAAAAGAUAGCUGGGUAGGUGUUUUCCUCCCAGGGCCUUCUGAAGAGUUUAAAAACAGAGACUUUGGGUGUUGAAUGAAAGGUCCCUAUUCUUUCCUAAAAUACUCACAGAAUCCCAUGACUAAUAUAUAAAUAAAGAUUGUUGUAUUAGUCACCCAACAAUGAAAGAAGAAAUCCUCCCACUUCUCAAAUGCUUCCUUUCAGAGUAACCUCAAUGACCUGACUGAUUCAUGGAACUAAUUUGUAACAAUAAUAAAGAUGAAGCGGGACCCCAGACAAGCUUUCAGAACUCCUCCAAAGACCCUCACUGCCUCAUCCCGCUCUCCCGUUCCUCGGCCUGCAGCUGAUGCCUUUGAGGAAGCCCCUGUUUGUACUGACAGUGGCCCAGAAACCUCUUCCCCUUGCUCAGACAAUUGCCCAUGUGGCCGCUGCCAACUUGGGGCUUCCUGGACUUCACAAACUCAGGAGGUCUGAGCUCAGUGACACCCUGCAUCGCCCCUGCUCCCUGGGCUCCUGCCCUGAACCACAGCUCCCUGCUUGAUGAAGAAGGGUCAGCCACCUCAAGGUUCACUUCCGGGCAGAGGCCACAUCUGUUAGGAAAGAAAAUAGAUGAAAAGCAUAGUUAGCAAGUGCCUGCUGUUGGCCAGGCACCGAGCUAGGAGGUGUCUUAUUCCUGUGUCAUCUUAUUUCAUCAUGUAAAUGGCCCUGUGAGGCAGAGAUGGUUGUUUGAAUUAUACAGAAGGAGAAACACAGAGUCAGAAAGAUGAAGAAACUUGCUGAAGAUUGUAUUGUGUUCCAGUGGUCUCCAAACUGGGGUAGGUCCACUCUAGUGAAGGUCCCUGGUUAAUUCCUGCUGAUUAAGCACUAACCACAUGAGACUCAUCCAGCUGGCCAGUUUCCAGAUGAAACUGUGGUGGGUAAAUUCUUUGGAAAAGAAAAUGGAGUCCAUUUCCACAUGACCACAGCAGUCACCCUGUUGAAGUGUACUGUGUGGGUCCAGAUGGGAGUGGAUGUUCAGCUCUCACUGGGCUCCACUGAUAUCAGCCCAGCCAGAGUGGAGUGCCAGCUGACCCCGCCUUGCUUUGCCUCACUCUGCCUUGUAGCUAAUGGGUGGGGGUGGAAGUCUUGCUUGGACUGUCGAUACCAGGAGUGGGGAGGGGGAAAAGGGACUGUGUUGUUGUGUAAUAAAGGAUUUGACUUUGUCCCUGGCUCCUGAGAAGGAGACUCUAAGUCUUUGGAAAUUCCCAAGUAAGAGGAGUGUCUUUGUUUUUCAUGAGCCCCUUGGAUCGCACCUUAGUUUAUGUUGAGAUGAGAGGGGUGGGAUUUGGAGCCAGCCUGACCUUGGGGAGAGUAGGGGGGAUGGAGAUUGAGUUGAGUCAUGUGACCAAUGAUUUACUCAACCAUGCCUAUGUCAUGAAACCUCAAUAAAAACUCUGGACACUGAAGCUCAGUGGAGUUACCUGCCUGGUAAACACAUUGAUUUGACCCACUCUGAUUUCAUGGGUUGAAGGCAUGGGAACUCUGCACUUAGGACCCCCCAGGAUUCACCUAUGUGUCUCUCCACUUGGCUGGUCCUGAUUUUUAUCCUGCGUAAUAAAAC